UCCCCGCCCGCCCGCCCACCCACCCACCUGGGCGGGGGCUGCGUCGGCUCCCCGGCCAUGGCCCGCUGGCUCCGGGAGCGGCUGCUCUUCCGCAGCGCCAAGCCGGCACCCCCGCAGCCCGAUUACGCACCGGAGCCGGAGCAGCCCGACCUGGUGGCCGCCUACCGGCUGCAGCGGGACCGCGACUUCGAGGACCCCUACGGCGGCGGCGGCGGAGGAGGAGGAGGAGGAGGAGGAAGGGGCGACCCCUCGCCGCCCCCCAGCCGCACCGGCGCCCCCUCGCCCCGCCGCCGCCUGAUCCGCGUGGAAGCCCCCGAGCAAGAGAAGAUGGUGGAUUUGGACGAUUAUGCGGAUCCGUUUGAUAGCGAAGCAGCAGCAGGCGGAGAGCAGGAAAAGGUGAAAAAUGAAGGCUACAUGGAACCUUACGAAGCUCAGAAGUUGCUGGCUGAGAUUCAGAAGAGAGGUAGCGACGGUGGGCCAGGCGCUGCUAAACCUCUGCAUUUGUAUGACGUCCCCUACGAAGAGUGCGAGGGCGACGCGGACGCAGAGAGCGAGCGCCCACCAGACGUCCCGUUCCGCUACUCGUGGUUGCCGGAGGAUGACGAACGGCCGCCCGAGGAAUAUGACCAGCCCUGGGAAUGGAAAAAGGACCGCAUCUCUAGAGUGUUUGCGGUGGAGAUCGAAGGGAUCCAGGAGCUGCCGUGGCCGCCCCCUGUCGGACAGCUUGACAACAUGGCUAAUCGCGGGGACGCAGAGGGACCCCCCACUCCCCAGAGCGCCGGUGCCAGGGACCUGCCUGGAGACAGCCCACCAAGCAUCCCGGACGCCAGCACCAGCUUUCUAGACUCGCUGGCUCUGUCUGCUCCCCUGGAUGUCGGCGGCAAGGGGACCGUGAGGAGCCAGCCACCCUCGGGCACAGAGAAGAGGAACAGUUUGUGCUGGCUGAACGUGGAAUCUGGGUUGAUGUUUGGCGAACGGGUCAACCCCACUUUGCCCCUGGAGAGCCAGGCCCGAGGGCUCCCGAAGCGGCCUUGCAGAGGCCUGACUGAACGCUUGCCUCCCCCCUCAACAGGUGGUAUCACGGGACCCUGAGUCGGGUGGACGCCGAAGGGUUGCUGCGGCUGUGCCGCGAAGCCAGCUACUUGGUGCGGAACAGCGAGAGCAGCCACAACGCUUUCUCCCUCUCCCUCAAGAGCAGUCAGGGCUUCCUGCAUAUGAAACUCUUGCCGACAGAAGAUAACAAGUUUGUCCUGGGCCAGCACAGCCCCCCCUUCGACAACGUCCCCGAGAUUAUCCAUCACUACGCCAGCCACAAGCUGCCCAUCCAGGGG